UACGGGGGGUGCAAACGUUGCUCGGAAUUAUUGGGCGUAAAGCGCACGUAGGCGGUCCUCUAAGUCGGGUGUGAAAGCCCGGGGCUUAACCCCGGAAGUGCACUCGAAACUGGAGGGCUUGAGUAUGGAAGAGGGUCUCGGAAUUCCCGGUGUAGCGGUGAAAUGCGCAGAUAUCGGGAGGAACACCAAUGGCGAAGGCAGCUCGCUGGGACGUGACUGACGCUGAGACGCGAAAGCGUGGGGAGCAAACAGG
rnacentral:rRNA from 1 species